UACGUAAGGACCGAGCGUUGUCCGGAUUCAUUGGGCUUAAAGGGUAUGUAGGUGGUUAGAAAAGUUAGAAGUGAAAGGCUAUAGCUCAACUAUAGUAAGCUUUUAAAACUGUUUAACUUGAGAGAUGGAAGGGAAAGUGGAAUUCCUAGUGUAGCGGUGAAAUGCGCAGAUAUUAGGAGGAAUACCAGUGGCGAAGGCGACUUUCUGGCAAUCGUCAGACGCUGAGGUACGAAAGCGUGGGUAGCAAACAGG
rnacentral:rRNA from 1 species